rnacentral:lncRNA from 1 species
AGGAUUUUUAAACUAGCCAACUUUGAAGAUCCCAAGAUAUUGCUUCAUUUCUUAUUACUAUGCUAUCUCUUGGUAUAGUGUUUUUGCAGCUUAACUUUCACUGUUGCAACUUGGAACUGGUGUACUUGAUCUUAUUUCAUCUCUGAGUCAUGACAUUUUUGCCAUUUGUGUGAUUAGCUACCUUUGUCAUCAUCUGCUGCACUGGAGCACCAACUUUUAUAUUUCAAAGGAGCAAAUAAGUGAAAAUACACAAAUGUUGUUGCUUGUAGAAAUUGAGCUUUGCUCUGUGUAGUUUCUGAAGCCCUCCAGCUCUGCAAAUUGUUGGGUUUAGAGAGCACUGCAGACCUCAGGCUUGUGCUGAUGUUUGAUCUGGAUUACAAGAAAAUCUGCUGAGUUUUGUCAGGGUACAACACAGGAAAAGUGUCAGGAAAUGGCAGCCAAUGCUGUGAAUAACACAGGCAUUUGAUGAAAAACUAGCUAAACAAAAGAAAAAUGACUGUAGAUGGUCCUAGAAAGCACUAUGGCAUUAUAUUCAAUACAUGCUUUUAGGUGUUCUAAUUGUAUCUGAUAAAUAUAUCUGAAAUUAAGUCUCUAAUUGGAAAAAAUAACAACAGUGUGACCCUGAAUUAAUUAGAGUUAUGGAUUUCCCUAGUUUCAGUCUUACCUGUAGGUAUAUUAACUAAGAUCUUGACACUUUUACAUUUGCAAGUUCUUUCCAUGAGAUUACACAGAGUUCCAAAAAGGAAAAAAGUAAAACUGAAGAAGGUAUUGAUCAGUGGUCUUCAGCAUGGUUUUCAGAGCACCUUUCUCUUCCAACUGAACUAUUCUGUUCUGUUCAUAUCCACAGGAGAACUGCUUCAGUACUGGAGACAGGAGUUUGGAGCGCUCCCUUGUACAAGUAUGUACCACCCUGCCAAGGACAGAUUAUCACCCACUCAGAAAUGCCAGAAGUCAAGUGCAGCACCUCUUCUCAAGUCUAUUGCCUCGGGAUAG